rnacentral:tRNA from 1 species
UCCCUGUUGGCUCAGAUGGUAAAGAAUCUGCCUGAAAUGCAGGAGACUUGGGUUUGAUUCCUAGGUCGGGAA